GGCAGAGCGCGUGUGGCGGCCGAGCACAUGGGCCCGCGGGCCGGGCGGGCUCGGGGCGGCCGGGACGAGGAGGGGCGACGACGAGCUGCGAGCAAAGAUGUGCCCCGGGACCCCCGGCACCUUCCAGUGGAUUUCCUUGCGGAAAGGAUGUUGGCGGUCCCUGUGACCUGUGGAGACACGGCCAGAUCUGCCCUCCAGCCUGAUCUUUUGGCCAGAAGGAGAUUAAAAAGAUGCCCCUCAAGAUGGCUGUGCCUGUCAGCUGCAUGGAGCUUCGUUCAAGUAUUUUCUGAGCCUGAUGGAUUUACAGUGAUCUUCAGUGGUCUGGGGAAUAACGCUGGUGGAACCAUGCACUGGAAUGACACACGCCCGGCACAUUUCAGGAUACUAAAAGUGGUUUUAAGGGAGGCUGUGGCUGAAUGCCUCAUGGAUUCUUACAGCUUGGAUGUCCAUGGGGGACGAAGGACUGCAGCUGGCUGAGAGGGUUGAGAUCUCUGUUUACUUAGAUCUCUGCCAACUUCCUUUGGGUCUCCCUAUGGAAUGUAAGACCCCGACUCUUCCUGGUGAAGCAUCUGAUGCACGUUCCAUCCGGCGCUCAGCUGGGCUUGAGAAUCCUGUUACACCUGGGAUUUAGGCACUUUCAAUCUGAAAAAAUACAUAUCCUUUCAGCACUCUGGACGGACUUGAGAACUGUCCUUACGUGACCUAAAGCUGGAGUAUUUUGAGAUUGGAGAAUUAAGCCAGUCUUGGUGCUCUGUGUUCACCUGGUUCAUCUGAGGAGCUGCAUCUACCCUGCCCAUGCCAUAGAUCCUGCCCUGUUUGCUUCUCCUGUUGCUGCUAGUGGACAUGAGAAGGACAGAAUAACGGGCUCCCAGAUUCACAAGCCCCACCAAGAGGAUCACCCCAGGAAUGCUUGGAGGCUGAGGAGUUCACUGAGGCUACUGCAUCUUGAGACUCAGGAUGAAGACCCAGCUUGGGGCUGUCAAAGGUUUUUUGCAUGUCUGACACCCAUGACUCCACCUGGACCUUAUGGCUCCACCCAGAAGCAAUUCAGCCCAACAGGAGGACAGCUUCAACCCAUUACGAUUUCAUCUCUGCCCCAACCACUCAGCAGCAAGCACCUGUUACCUGUCCAUCCCCACCCCUUCCCCCAAACUGCCUUUGAAAAAUCCCUAACCUAUGAGCUUUGAAUAAGAUGAGUACGAACUUCAUCGCCCAUGUGGCGUGGCCGGCCUCGUGUCUAUUAAAUUCUUUUUCUACUACAA
rnacentral:sRNA from 1 species